CCUACGGGAGGCAGCAGUGGGGAAUAUUUCGCAAUGGGCGAAAGCCUGACGCAGCGACGCCGCGUGAGGGAUGAAGGUCUUCGGAUCGUAAACCUCUGUCAGCAGGGAAGAACGGUCACUGUGCUAAUCAGCAGUGAAUUGACGGUACCUGCAAAGUAAGCACCGGCUAACUCCGUGCCAGCAGCCGCGGUAAUACGGAGGGUGCGAGCGUUAAUCGGAAUUACUGGGCGUAAAGCGCUCGUAGGCGGUAUGUUAAGUCAAGGGGGAAAUCCCCGCGCUCAACGUGGGAACUGCCUUUGAAACUGGCAAACUGGAGUGUGGGAGAGGAUAGCGGAAUUCCAGGUGUAGGAGUGAAAUCCGUAGAUAUCUGGAGGAACAUUAGUGGCGAAGGCGACUAUCUGGCACAUAACUGACGCUGAGGAGCGAAAGCGUGGGUAGCAAACAGGAUUAGAUACCCCUGUAGUC
rnacentral:rRNA from 1 species